rnacentral:lncRNA from 1 species
GCUCUGUGAACUAUUUUGGUGGUUGGUGGAUGGCCCCAUCUGUCUACAUGAAAUUGGACUAAGAUCAAAAGGUGAUGGUGUUCGUGAUCAAGUGUUUGAAAGUACUAAUUUCAUACCUAGUACGGGAUGGGGAAGCCUAGUACCUGAUUGAACUAGGGCGUGGCUUAUACCCAUGCUGUCCCUGGAACGAGGUUCCCAUGGUGCAUCAUGUGGGUGCAAGUGCGGUCACAGUGUAGUAAUAGGUCGGGACUGUGGAGCAUUGCAUGCCAAGGGAAGUUUGGACCUGACACGCGCCUGGGAAUUGAUGGGGACGGCUGACAAAGGAAGCGACCUUCAUGGUGC